rnacentral:rRNA from 1 species
AUUGAACGCUGGCGGCAGGCCUAACACAUGCAAGUCGAGCGGAUGAAGGGAGCUUGCUCCUGGAUUCAGCGGCGGACGGGUGAGUAAUGCCUAGGAAUCUGCCUGGUAGUGGGGGAUAACGUCCGGAAACGGGCGCUAAUACCGCAUGCGUCCUGAGGGAGAAAUUGGGGGAUCUUCGGACCUCACGCUAUCAGAUGAGCCUAGGUCGGAUUAGCUAGUUGGUGGGGUAAAGGCCUACCAAGGCGACGAUCCGUAACUGGUCUGAGAGGAUGAUCAGUCACACUGGAACUGAGACACGGUCCAGACUCCUACGGGAGGCAGCAGUGGGGAAUAUUGGACGAUGGGCGAAAGCCUGAUCCAGCCAUGCCGCGUGUGUGAAGAAGGUCUUCGGAUUGUAAAGCACUUUAAGUUGGGAGGAAGGGCAGUAAGUUAAUACCUUGCUGUUUUGACGUUACCAACAGAAUAAGCACCGGCUAACUUCGUG